rnacentral:rRNA from 1 species
AUUGAACGCUGGCGGCAGGCCUAACACAUGCAAGUCGAGCGGAUGAAGGGAGCUUGCUCCUGGAUUCAGCGGCGGACGGGUGAGUAAUGCCUAGGAAUCUGCCUGGUAGUGGGGGAUAACGUCUGGAAACGGGCGCUAAUGCCGCAUACGUCCUGCGGGAGAAAGUGGGGGAUCUUCGGACCUCACGCUAUCAGAUGAGCCUAGGUCGGAUUAGCUAGUUGGUGGGGUAAAGGCCUACCAAGGCGACGAUCCGUAACUGGUCUGAGAGGAUGAUCAGUCACACUGGAACUGGGACACGGUCCAGACUCCUGCGGGAGGCAGCAGUGGGGAAUAUUGGACAAUGGGCGAAAGCCUGAUCCAGCCAGGCCGCGUGUGUGAAGAAGGUCUUCGGAUUGUAAAGCACUUUAAGUUGGGAGGAAGGGCAGUAAGUUAAUACCUUGCUGUUUUGACGUUAACAACAGAAUAAGCACCGGCUAACUUCGUG